rnacentral:rRNA from 1 species
UGGGGAAUAUUGGACAAUGGGUGAGAGCCUGAUCCAGCCAUGCCGCGUGCAGGAAGAAGGCGUUAUGCGUUGUAAACUGCUUUUUGCCAGGGGAUAAAAAGACCGUGCGCGGUUAAUUGAAGGUACCUGGUGAAUAAGCCACGGCUAACUACGUGCCAGCAGCCGCGGUAAUACGUAGGUGGCAAGCGUUGUCCGGAUUUAUUGGGUUUAAAGGGUGCGUAGGUGGCCCUGUAAGUCAGUGGUGAAAUAUCUCAGCUUAACUGAGAGGGUGCCAUUGAUACUGCAGGGCUUGAGUACAGAUGAGGUAGGCGGAAUUGACGGUGUAGCGGUGAAAUGCAUAGAUAUCGUCAAGAACACCGAUAGCGAAGGCAGCUUACCAAGCUGUAACUGACACUGAGGCACGAAAGUGUGGGGAUCAAACAGGAUUAGAUACCCCUGUAGUCCCUGAGCGGGCUGGCAAGGCGCAU